rnacentral:lncRNA from 1 species
GGAAUUUCUUCACAGGGACUGUCACUAACCCUUGGGGAUAGUUCUUCCUUCCUUCCCCAAAUAGAUGGAUUGGAAGAGGAAACACUUUUUUCUUUUAACACUGCACAUGUUUUAAUUUACUUUUAAAAUUUUAUUUUGCCUUUUUCAAUGUACAAAAAUCUAUUUUCUGUUUUCUCUAUUAAAAAAGCAAAAUAAAACCCUUGUAACAAAUAUGCAUAAUUGAAUUGAACAAAUUCCUGCAUUGUGUCCCCCCCACAAAUGUAUAUCUCAUUUUGUAUUCUGUACCUGUCAGCUAUCUGUCAGGAGGUGGGGAGCACGUCAUCACUGGCCCUCUGGAAUUGCAGUUGGCUGCUGCAUUGAUUAGGGUUCUUGAGUCUUUCAAAAUCCAUUUUUACUUUUAUGGGUUCUGUGAGUUCCCACCCCCCAAUCCAGUUUCCAGAGAAGGAGAUAUGUGGGAAAGGGUGGCCUGUGGGCAGGGGUGGUGAGGUGACUGAGGCAGCAGGAGGCUGUGAAAUCCUUUCCCUUGGAAACCUAUAGGACUAAGAAUAGUAUUUCUUCCUUCCUUCCUUACUUCUUCCUUCUUCCUCAAUCUGGACUUCUCUCCUCUUUCCUCCCUCCCUCCCUCCCUGCCUCCCUCCCUCCCUCCCUCCCUUCCUCCUUUCCUUCCUUCCUUCCUUCCUUCCUUCCUUCCUUCCUUCCUUCCUUCCUUCCUUCCUUCCUUCCUUCCUUCCUUCCUUCCUUCCUUCCUUCCUUCCUUCCUUCCUUCCUUCCUUCCUUCCUUCCUUCCUUCUUUCCUUCCUUUCCUUUAAAAAAGACCCUUUACCUUCAAUCUUAGAAUCAAAACAA